CUGGCGGCAGGCCUAAUACAUGCAAGUCGAGCGCGCCCUUCGGGGUGAGCGGCGGACGGGUGAGUAACGCGGGGGAAUAUGCCCUUCUCUAAGGAAUAGCCUCUGGAAACGGAGAGUAAUACCUUAUACGCCCUUUGGGGGAAAGAUUUAUCGGAGAAGGAUUAGCCCGCGUUAGAUUAGGUAGUUGGUGGGGUAAUGGCCUACCAAGCCUACGAUCUAUAGCUGGUUUGAGAGGAUGAUCAGCCACACUGGGACUGAGACACGGCCCAGACUCCUACGGGAGGCAGCAGUAGGGAAUCUUAGACAAUGGGGGCAACCCUGAUCUAGCCAUGCCGCGUGUGUGAUGAAGGCCCUAGGGUCGUAAAGCACUUUCGCCAGAGAUGAUAAUGACAGUAUCUGGUAAAGAAACCCCGGCUAACUCCGUGCCAGCAGCCGCGGUAAUACGGAGGGGGUUAGCGUUGUUCGGAAUUACUGGGCGUAAAGCGCACGUAGGCGGAUUAGUAAGUUAGAGGUGAAAUCCCAGGGCUCAACCCUGGAACUGCCUUUAAUACUGCUAGUCUUGAGUUCGAGAGAGGUAAGUGGAAUUCCGAGUGUAGAGGUAAAAUU
rnacentral:rRNA from 1 species